AUUGUGUUCUGGGACAAAGUAUUAAUGUGUCAUGAUAGAAGGUGAUAUAUUGUUCUUAUACUAAUAAUGCUAUUAAGUCUGCCAUUCUUAUGGCUGAUACUAGAGCAAUCCGUAGGAGAGUUUUCUAGGAAAGUGUCAGAUUAGAAAUUUCUUCUAUGGGUUCAAAGAGGCUUUCAGUCAUGGCAUGAAGAACUAGAACUAAACCCCAAGGAAUUGUGACUUUCCUGAAAACAGCCUUGAAAAAACACUCCACCGUAGGAUGUUCUGCCCAUCUAAUCCCUGAUAUAGUGAAACAAUGUACUUUCAAAGUGUUAAUACUGAG